GUCUUUAUGGAUCAAAAUCUUAGCUCUAGAAAAGAUUUGAUUAAGUGAAACAAAGCCCCAGCUGCUGGAGCAGAGGUUCCACUUGGGUUCCACAGACACCCACAGCCCAAAUCCCUGGAGGCCUAAGGCAAUAGCUAAUUGAGACUAUGCAUCACUAUUAAGGCAUCUUCACUAAAGGGCGCUGUGGAAACGCUGCCUGAGAUGCAGACACCUGUCAGAAGGGGGCUAAAUUUCAAACAAGGAACGUGGUGUUGCAUCACAAUAAAGUAGAUUCUAGUAUUACCUUCCUUUUUCAGAAGAGGAGACCAAUGGGGAGCAUUGGAAUGAUUUGGUUGCAAGCAUACUACACUACUUGUAAACUGCAGACACAGGCUUAAAAAAAGUGAAAAACUAACCAUGCAAUAAAGAAUGGAAUGAACCAUGAAGCUGUUUCUGUGGCCAGUCAUGUUUUUGAAGCAUAUCCCAUGCUAAUUUCUAGAACAGAAGAAACACACGUGUUCUUGUGUGUAAACCCAGUCCAUGGAAGAGACCGUCUGCUUGUCCCUCCUGAUCUCUGGGCCCAGACAACCAGUAGUCACCAUUCCAAGUGAGGGGUGGCUGCAACUCUACAGCCCCGUUCGUCUCUCCUCACUGUCAAAGCUGCUGAGACCCCAGACUCGACACUUGAAAGAAACCCAUGUCUGUGAAGCACUUGUGGACCAUUCAAGAUUGUGGAAGAAUCACUCAAGAGAAGGAGAUAGGUGAUGGGAUCUAGCUUCUGAUGGUUUCUAUUUUAUUGAAUGUCUAAUAGGGCAAGAAUUUGAAAAACGAGAAUGUUUGCCAUGCAGGAGGACCUGGGAAGGAGAUAACACAUUUACAGGGAGAAAGAUUGGGAUUCAGUUGGGAGGAGUAACUGAGGAAAGGGGUCACUCAAAAUAUUUUGUAUUUUAGGUCCUUUUUCUAUUAAGGAGGAAUGGAUUAUCAAAGCCUUAACAUUAAAUUGUAUUGUGUCAGGUGAAUUGCUAUGGUUUGAAUG
ensembl:lncRNA IL12A-AS1 IL12A antisense RNA 1